CACCUCUCAGGUUUGCACCUGGAGAGUUUCCAGGACUCUACCAGUCUUAACUGUGAGAGGGAGAGUCAAGCAGAGGCAAACCCAUUCCAUUCCUAGCUUGGGCAGUGGCUAGCGAGUGGAAGGCAAUCUGCUAUAAGU
rnacentral:snoRNA from 2 species